rnacentral:tRNA from 1 species
GGUGCCGUAGCCUAGUGGUUAAGGCGAUAGACUAGUAAUCUUUUGGGAUAUUCCCGCGCAGGUUCGCUACCUUAAUACGGCGUCA